rnacentral:misc_RNA from 1 species
CAGGAAUCUGUUAGAGGUCCUAUUAUUGAUCCAGGAAAUGUGGGCCAGGAUCCAAAACCAUUGAGAGUCGAAGAAUGUGAAGAAGAAAGCAGGAUCCAGAAAGGGACAACUGGAAGGGAAUAAUUUGAUGGUUAUGCAGUUACAAGGAAUUGCGGGAGGAAGUUCACAUGGGCUAUGAAGGACCGUUCUAGAUUUAUUACGGCAGGAAAGGGCAGGGAUAGUCACAGGAUAUUUAUGCUUUUGCCUACAUGUUGCCUAUAUGUUGUUCAAUGUAAUUUUUAUGAUUUUACAUGUGCAAAUACAUCUAUAUAACCUUCUAUUGUUAAUUUCUCACUACCUGGACCAGUCUCUGAAUAAGAAUACUGAUAGAUAGGACUGUGAAGGGAUUGUAGGACUUUUAUUACUUUCAUGUUAG